GGGGUUGUGGCUCAGUGGUAGAGUGCUUGCCUAGCACGCCUGAGGCACUGGGUUCAAUCCCCAGCACCACA
rnacentral:tRNA from 1 species